AUCCAGUUGGCGGGUCCCAAAUAGGACGAAAUGCGCGUCCUGACUGGAU
rnacentral:hammerhead_ribozyme from 1 species